UACGUAGGCAGCAAGCGUUGUUCGGAGUUACUGGGCGUAAAGGGUGUGUAGGCGGUUGUUUAAGUUUGGUGUGAAAUCUCCCGCUCAACCGGGAGGGUGCGCCGAAUACUGAAUAACUAGAGUGCGGGAGAGGAAAGUGGAAUUCCUGGUGUAGCGGUGAAAUGCGUAGAUAUCAGGAGGAACACCGGUGGUGUAGACGGCUUUCUGGACCGUAACUGACGCUGAGACACGAAAGCGUGGGUAGCAAACAGG
rnacentral:rRNA from 1 species